GCGAGAGAAAGAAAGCUCCCUCUUUCGACGCCUUUCUUCCAACUCCUCCGGCGGCUGAAAGAAGUUUAAAUCUGAUUGGAUGUUGACGAUGAAGUUGAUAGGCCGAAAUAACUGUCCAUCACUCGCUUAAAGAGGUGUCCCGUGGUCACAGGAAAUGGGGAAUUCCUGGUCUUCUGAGAUUUUUGGCUGAGACUCCUGCCUGCUCUUCUGCCUAGUUGGGUUAGAUGCCGAAGAAAGAUCCUCUUAAUUCAAAGAACUCGUGAUUUCCUGAAAAGGAGGCAGAAGCUACAACAAAUGCUUUUAUGGAAAGAAUGUUAGACCUGGAAUCAGAAGAUCAAGUGUGAGUGUCAGCUAUCUUCUGUUCACGCUGACAGAAUGGAAUGAAGCCCACCUUGACCAUCAGAGAGACUUUCUCCCUGCCUGAAGUCAGAUUGCAGCUCCUGGCUCAGAACGGACAAAUGAGAAGAUGAAUGCAGGACCCAUGAUUGAUACAGUUCAUCCAGUGCCCCUCAAGCAUCGGCUGGUACUAAAAGCUGUUGUUACCCAUGCACGGCCUUGACCCAGCCUUCUCUUCUCGGAAGGACGGAGACUCAGGUCCCCAGCCUCUGGCUCUUCUCACAUGGGAGAGCUGGCUGAAAACCAACAUUCCCAGAUCCGAAAGGGGAGAAGCCCAGGGAGAGGGGAAGAAGCCUUCUCUCUCCCCACUGCUAUGUUGCCAAUUUGAUCUCAAGGAAUAACAAAUGAAAAAUAAAUGAAGUGAAACACGACCAUGGAAGAUGACUUCCGGAUACCCUGCCCACUCAGGGAUGGCGUUCAAAGACAGGGUUUUGUGUCUUCUCUCUGGCUGGACCUUGGAAGUAAAAGUCCAAAGUGGGAUUCUAAUAGUUCCCUGACCAGCGAUCAAAUCCACAGCCAUGGAAUGGAAGUUGAGAGUCUUAACCUCUGAACCAACAAGAAGUCCCAGAAAUCUCUAUACUUUUAAUCAAACAUAAAGCAAACUUAGAAGACAUAUUUUGCCUUAAUAUUUAUUUCUUAAAAAUUUUACUGCUAUCUAUGCAUCUUUCAAUAAUGCCUGACAAAAGGUUGCAUUUUUUUUGUUGCCGUGUUGCAUUUUGUGCAUGAUUUCAGUCAAUUUUUUCAUGGUAGAAAAAGCAAGGG